UGAUCCAACCUCACACGGGCUGCCCAAACGAACCCACCUUGCCUGAAUCCAGUACAAGAACCGUCCAAACAGAAACUGCGACCUCAUCGCACUGAAACCUCAUUCCGGAAUGGCAUUCGUGGGCGCAACCCACCCGAAUUUACAAGUGUCUCUGCGAAGUUCAUUUAGGCUCUCACAGGCUAUAGUCAAAACAGAAGAGUCUAACUGGUCUAACAACCAUAAUGAACAUGCUCUCAGCACAAUCUGAUGCCAAAAACAGCAAUCUGGGUCACCAUCAACCACAACGGCACCCAACAGUCCGGAACAGUCUAAACACUACUGUAAAAAUACACUCGGCAUUCCAGUACGAGCGUAAAUUCAUUCUACACUAUUCUGGAUAUCCACCGCCUACAAACUGCAGCGAUACAAACAAACUACAGCUCCUAAAACUAAAUCUGGUAGUUUUCAGAAAAUAACAGUGUAGAACCUAUAGUUUUCUUCUAAGUCAAUUCCAAGUCCAACAUGUAUAAUUUGUUUAAACCAAUAACUAUGCUCCAAAUUCAUAUUUCAAAGAACAUGCAAAUCCACGAAUUCGAGCUAUUAAACAUAAUAUACAAAACCCAACAAUACAUGAUGUCAACU
rnacentral:lncRNA from 1 species